UCGAGAAUAUUCGACAAUGGGCGAAAGCCUGAUCGAGCGACGCCGCGUGCAGGACGACAGUCUUCGGAUUGUAAACUGCUUUUCUACGGGAAAAAACAAAUGAUGGUACUGUAGGAAUAAGGGGUGGCUAACUUCGUGCCAGCAGCAGCGGUAAUACGAAGGCCCCGAGCGUUAUCCGGAAUUAUUGGGCGUAAAGGGUGCGUAGGUGGUUUUGCGCGUCUGUUGUUAAAUGUCACAGCUCAACUGUGUCACCGCAAUGGAUACGGCAAGACUAGAGGGUGCGAGAGGUCUGUGGAACUCACGGUGUAGGGGUGAAAUCCGUUGAUAUCGUGGGGAACACCAAAGGCGAAGGCAGCAGACUGGCGCAUUUCUGACACUGAGGCACGAAAGCGUGGGGAGCAAAAAGG
rnacentral:rRNA from 1 species